UACGUAGGGGGCGAGCGUUGUCCGAAGUUACUGGGCGUAAAGCGCGCGUAGGCGGUUUCUUAAGUCUGGGGUGAAAGGUUCAGCGCUCAACGUGAACAGUGCCUUGGAUACUGGGAGACUUGAGUUAGGGAGAGGGAAGUGGAAUUCCUGGUGUAGCGGUGAAAUGCGUAGAUAUCAGGAGGAACACCAGUGGCGAAGGCGGCUUCCUGGCCUAUAACUGACGCUGAGGUGCGAAAGCGUGGGGAGCGAACGGG
rnacentral:rRNA from 1 species